rnacentral:rRNA from 1 species
AGAGAUGCAUUGGGCGUAAAGCGUGCGCAGGCGGUUUUGUAAGACAGAGGUGAAAUCCCCGGGCUCAACCUGGGAACUGCCUUUGUGACUGCAAGGCUGGAGUGCGGCAGAGGGGGAUGGAAUUCCGCGUGUAGCAGUGAAAUGCGUAGAUAUGCGGAGGAACACCGAUGGCGAAGGCAAUCCCCUGGGCCUGCACUGACGCUCAUGCACGAAAGCGUGGGGAGCAAACA